rnacentral:rRNA from 1 species
UACGGAGGGGGCUAGCGUUAUUCGGAAUUACUGGGCGUAAAGCGUGCGCAGGCGGUUUUGUAAGUCAGAUGUGAAAUCCCCGGGCUUAACCUGGGAACUGCGUUUGAAACUACAAGGCUAGAGUGUAGCAGAGGGGGGUGGAAUUCCACGUGUAGCAGUGAAAUGCGUAGAGAUGUGGAGGAACACCGAUGGCGAAGGCAGCCCCCUGGGUUAACAAUGACGCUCAGGCACGAAAGCGUGGGGAGCAAACAGG